rnacentral:rRNA from 1 species
UUGCUUUCUCCGCCGGCGACCGGCGCACGGGUGAGUAACACGUAUGCAACCUGCCCCUGUCAGGGGGACAACCCGCCGAAAGGCGGGCUAAACCCGCGUACAUGCCACCGGGGCAUCCCGGAGGCAGGAAAGGCUUCGGCCGGACAGGGAUGGGCAUGCGGCGCAUUAGGCAGUAGGCGGGGUAACGGCCCACCUAACCGACGAUGCGUAGGGGUUCUGAGAGGAAGGUCCCCCACACCGGUACUGAGACACGGACCAGACUCCUACGGGAGGCAGCAG